rnacentral:rRNA from 1 species
UACAGAGGUCUCAAGCGUUGUUCGGAUUCAUUGGGCGUAAAGGAUGCGUAGGUGGCGCUGUAAGUCGGGUGUGAAAUUUCGGAGCUUAACUCCGAAACUGCAUUCGAUACUGCGGUGCUUGAGGACUGGAGAGGAGACUGGAAUUCAUGGUGUAGCAGUGAAAUGCGUAGAGAUCAUGAGGAAGACCAGUGGCGAAGGCGGGUCUCUGGACAGUUCCUGACACUGAGGCACGAAGGCCAGGGGAGCAAACGGG